UACGGAGGGUGCAAGCGUUAUUCGGAAUUACUGGGCGUAAAGCGUGCGCAGGCGGUUUGGUAAGUCCGUUGUGAAAGCCCCGAGCUCAACUUGGGAAUUGCAGUGGAUACUGGCAGGCUGGAGUACGGUAGAGGAAGGUGGAAUUCACGGUGUAGCAGUGAAAUGCGUAGAUAUCGGGAGGAACACCAGUGGCGAAGGCGGCCUGCUGGGCAGUAGCUGACGCUGAGGCGCGACAGCGUGGGGAGCAAACAGG
rnacentral:rRNA from 1 species